CGCAUUCUAACGCGGAGCGGAGGGCGCCAGGUAAAAGCCUGGACAGGCGGUACCCAGGCGUCUAGGCAGCCGUCCACAGAGAUGCGGGUCCUCCGCGGAGCCUAGAGAGGACGCGGAAGUGGGCUGGGGGCGGGGUCCGAGGCCCCUGCAGACUCCGCGUCUGCCGGCUGGGUGCGGCCCCGCGGCUGCCAGAGAGUCGGUCGGAAGCGAGCGGUGGAGGGGCGAUGCCGUGCACUUUGCCCCUCUCUCCUUCCGUUUCCCUCGCCGAGCCAUGCCCCUGGCGGCCGAGGAGAGUGGGCGCGGGUCCCGAAUCCCCCGGCGGGGUCGACGCCGCUGUGCAUCGCCGGGUGCCCGGGGUCGUUGGGGCCCCGCCACCCUCGGUCCCCGCGCCCUCCUCUUCUCAGGCCGUCCGUCCCGCGCUGCUCAAGUUUCCAGCCCUGCUCCUCUUGUAGGAGCAGGGGUGGGAUGACCCCGGGCCAGAGUGGACAAACCUCCUGUUCCUGGAGCCGGUGCCCUGCGAGGAUGCGGACGUGGGCUUCAGAUAAGAGUGGAGGCGCCUGUCCGCCCUGGGAAAGCUCUGCGCGGACGUGAUGCCGAAGAUUUCUGGAAACGUCGUCGCACUGAUGAAAUCGUAGGGACUUCUCACCCAGGGGAAUAGGAAGAGGACCUGAGAGAUGUCUCGACAGGAAGAGCUGUUUCCCCCUUGAGGACGAGACCUUCCCUGGCUGGGGAGGGCCGAGAGCCCCUGCCUGCUCCAUGCUCUCCUGGCUGCUGAGGGCCGGGGCCCUGGCCCUGGCACAGGAUUGAUGCCCUCCUUGCCAUCCAGACAGUUGGGGCACACUCUCCCUGGUUUCCUAAAGGCAGAAGAAUAACUUCAACUACCAGACAUUUAAACAGUUG
rnacentral:lncRNA from 1 species